UGGAAGUGUCCUGUUGCCCAACCC
rnacentral:piRNA from 1 species